ensembl:misc_RNA
CAGAGAGUAACAGAGCCUGAGAUCCUCCAUCCACAUGACAAGGACAGUAACAGCAGCUGUAGUUCAGCUUCUCCACAACAUGCUUCAGAACUGUUCUGUAGAGACCAUUUCUAAUGGAGAGAAGGUAGUUCAGUAUCCAUUCCCAUUCAGUCCUUGGUCUUCA